rnacentral:misc_RNA from 1 species
GAUGAAGAACGCAGCAAAAUGCGAUAAGUAAUGUGAAUUGCAGAAUUCAGUGAAUCAUCGAAUCUUUGAACGCACAUUGCGCCCGCUGGUAUUCCGGCGGGCAUGCCUGUUCGAGCGUCAUUUCAACCAUCAAGCCCCCGGGUUUGGUGUUGGGGAUCGGCUCUGCCCUUCUGGGCGGUGCCGCCCCCGAAAUACAUUGGCGGUCUCGCUGCAGCCUCCAUUGCGUAGUAGCUAACACCUCGCAACUGGAACGCGGCGCGGCCAUGCCGUAAAACCCCAACUUCUGAAUGUUGACCUCGGAUCAGGUAGGAAUACCCGCUGAACUUAAGCAUAUCAAUAAGCGGAGGA